UACCUAGUUGAUCCUGCCAGUAGUCAUAUUCUUAUCUCAAAGAUUAAGCCAUGCAUGUCUAAGUAUGAACUAAUUCAGAUUGUGAAAUUGCGGAUGGCUCAUUAAAUCAGUUAUAGUUUCUUUGAUGGUACCCUACUACUCGGAUAACCGUAGUAAUUCUAGAGCUAAUACGUGCACCAAGUCCCGACUCUUUGGAAGGGAUGCAUUUAUUAGAUAAAAGGUCGGUGCGGGCUUGCCCUCUUCUCCAGUGAAUCAUGAUAACUUGACGGAUCGCACAGCCCUUGUGCUGGCGAUGCUUCAUUCAAAUUACUUCCCUAUCAACUUUCAAUGGUAGGAUAGAGGCCUACCAUGGUGGUGAUGGGUGAUAGAGAAUUAGGGUUCAAUUCUGGAGAGGGAGCCUAAGAAAUGGCUACCACAUCCAAGGAAGGUAGCAGGUGCACAAAUUACCCAAUCCUGACAUGGGGAGGUAGUGACAAUAAAUAACAAUACUGGGCUCAUCAAGUCUGGUAAUUGGAAUGAGUACAAUCUAAAUCCCUUAACGAGCAUCCAUUGGAGGGAAAGUCUGGUGCUAGCAGCCAUGGUAAUUCCAGCUCCAAUAGCAUAUAUUUAUGUUGUUUUAGUUAAAAAUAUCAUAUUUGGAUCUUGGGUCGUAAAGUUCGAUCCACCUACUCAGUGUGCACCUUCCCUUCCAUCCCUUUUGCCGGCAGCGUGCUCCUGGCCUUAAUUGGCUGGGUCGCGAUUCUGGCAUUUUUACUUUGAAAAAAUUAGAGUGUUCAAAGAAAUCUUAUGCUCUGAAUACAUGAGCAUGGAAUAAUGUGAUAGGAGUCUGGUCCUAUUGUGUUGGUCUUCGGGACCAGGGUAAUGAUUAAUAGGGACUAUCGGGGGCAUUUGUAUUUCAUUGUCAGAUGUGAAAUUAUUAGAUUUAUGAAAGACGAACCACUGCGAAAGCAUUUGCCAAGGAUGUUUUCAUUAAUCAAGAAUGAAAGUUGGGGGCUCGAAGACGAUCAGAUACCAUCCUAGUCUCAACCAUAAACGAUGCUGACCAGGGAUCGGAGGAUGUUGCUCUAAGGACUUCUCCAGCACCUUCUGAGAAAUCAGAGUGUUUGGGUUUCGGGGAGAGUAGGGUUGCAAGGAUGAAACUUAAAGGAAUUGAUAGAAGGGAACCACUAGGAGUGGAGCCUAUGGCUUAAUUUGACUCAACACAGGAAAACUUACCAGGUCCAGACAUAGUAAGGAUUGACAGAUUGAGAGCUCUUUCUUGAUUCUAUGGGUGGUGGUGCAUGGCCAUUCUUAGUUGGUGGAGUGAUUUGUCUAGUUAAUUCCGAUAAUGAACAAGACCUCAGCCUGCUAACUAGCUACGUGGAGGUUCCCCUUUACGACCAACUUCUUAGAGGGACUAUGGUCAUUUAGGCCAUGGAAGUUUGAGGCAAUAAUAGGUCUGUAAUUCCCUUAGAUGUUUUGGGCCGCACGUGCGCUACAUUGAUGUAGUCAACGAUUUUUUCUCUCUGGUUCGAGAGGAUCGAGAAAUCUUCUCAAAUUGCAUCAUGAUGGGGAUAUACCAUUGUAAUUAAUGGUCUUCAACGAGGAAUUCCUAGUAAGUGUGUGUCAUCAUCUUGUUUUGACUACGGCCCUGCCCUUUGUACACACCACCCAUCGCUCCUACCGAUUGAAUGAUCCAGUGAAGUGUUUGGAUCGCAUCAACAAGGGUGGUUCGCCACUGACGAUGUCGUGAGAAGUUCAUUGAACCUUAUCAUUUAGAGGAAGGAGAAUUUGUAACAAGGUUACCAUAGGUGAACUUUCAGUAGGAUCAUUG
rnacentral:rRNA from 1 species